AAAGCUUUAGGAAUAGGUAUUCCAUAUCUGGGGUGUAGAUGCCCAGAACCAAGAUCCCAGAACACAGUACUUUUUCAGGUUUAUCAGUCCCUCUGUUCAAGGAAGACGAAACGUAAAGUACACUCUCAACAAAUUAUCUUGGCAAUAUUUUGUUGACUUAUUAUUUUAAAGAUAUGCCAGUGUGUGACUUUUACUUUGUGGCAGCAUUGUUCCAAGGCACCAACCCAUCAAGAAACCCAGCCACAGAAGUCUUCUUUUAGGGAGACAAUCCUCAGCUUCUAUCAAUAAAGAAUCAUCUUUCAUAUCAAGCAUCCAUCAAGAUAUUCAUGUAUUAAACAUAUUUUUUAUAAAGUUAGUGUAUGCAAAAACAAGGGUUGGUGCUCGGAGGGAGCAGUGGAAAAAUGACUGCCUCACAGUCCAUGAGACAAUCAUGCAAUGUAAUUGAG
rnacentral:lncRNA from 1 species